rnacentral:rRNA from 1 species
GUGGGGAAUAUUGGACAAUGGGCGAAAGCCUGAUCCAGCCAUGCCGCGUGUGUGAAGAAGGUCUUCGGAUUGUAAAGCACUUUAAGUUGGGAGGAAGGGCAGUAAGUUAAUACCUUGCUGUUUUGACGUUACCGACAGAAUAAGCACCGGCUAACUUCGUGCCAGCAGCCGCGGUAAUACGAAGGGUGCAAGCGUUAAUCGGAAUUACUGGGCGUAAAGCGCGCGUAGGUGGUUUUGUAAGUUGGAGGUGAAAUCCCCGGACUCAACCUGGGAACUGCCUCCAAAACUGCAUGACUAGAGUACGGUAGAGGGUAGUGGAAUUUCCUGUGUAGCGGUGAAAUGCGUAGAUAUAGGAAGGAACACCAGUGGCGAAGGCGACUACCUGGACUGAUACUGACACUGAGGUGCGAAAGCGUGGGGAGCAAACAGGAUUAGAAACCCCUGUAGUCC